rnacentral:lncRNA from 1 species
CGCGGGUUAGGCCGAAACGGCGUCGUUUUGGUGCCAGAGUGGCCUGCCCAAAACGGCGUCGUUUUGAAGGCCUAUUUAAAUGAAAAAAUUUUCAGAAUCUUCAUUUCAGCCAUUCUUCAAAUAAUUUUUUUGCCUUUUUCUCUCAAUUAUCUUUCUUCUCUGCCGUUGCCCAGAAUCCGGCCAUCGGCCACUGUGGCAGCCGCCGAUCACCGGCGACGGCGCCGCCGUGCACGGUGGUCGGAAAUCGCCGAAAACAUUUUAACCCCCCCUUUUUUUGUGUAGAAUAUAGAUCUAGGGAUAAAAAUAUCAAAAAAUCACUCUAUGUUGCAGAUUCAAGACAUGCAAGUACUUUAC